AAUGCGUUAGCUUAAAGGUUAUAGCAUUAUGUAUUAACACAUACAUAAAGUAUACAAGUUCGAAUCUUGUACGCGUCU